rnacentral:rRNA from 1 species
UACGGAGGAUGCAAGCGUUAUCCGGAUUUAUUGGGUUUAAAGGGUGCGCAGGUUGUUUGAUAAGUCAGUGGUGAAAGUCUGUCGCUUAACGGUAGGAUUGCCAUUGAUACUGUUGGACUUGAAUAUGGAUGAGGUAGGCGGAAUGUGUAGUGUAGCGGUGAAAUGCAUAGAUAUUACACAGAACACCGAUUGCGAAGGCAGUCUUCCAAGCCGUUAUUGACGCUCAACUGCGAAGGUGUGGGUAUCAAACAGGAUUAGA